UACGUAGGCAGCAAGCGUUGUUCGGAGUUACUGGGCGUAAAGGGUGUGUAGGCGGUUUUUUAAGUUUGGUGUGAAAUCUCCCGGCUCAACUGGGAGGGUGCGCCGAAUACUGAAAGACUAGAGUGCGGGAGAGGAAAGUGGAAUUCCUGGUGUAGCGGUGAAAUGCGUAGAGAUGUGGAGGAACACCGAUGGCGAAGGCAGCCCCCUGGGCCAAAACUGACGCUCAGGCACGAAAGCGUGGGGAGCAAACAGG
rnacentral:rRNA from 1 species